rnacentral:rRNA from 1 species
AUUGAACGCUGGCGGCAUGCCUUACACAUGCAAGUCGAACGGCAGCACGGACUUCGGUCUGGUGGCGAGUGGCGAACGGGUGAGUAAUGUAUCGGAACGUACCUUUCAGUGGGGAAUAACGUAGCGAAAGUUACGCUAAUACCGCAUAUUCUGUGAGCAGGAAAGCAGGGGAUCGAAAGACCUUGCGCUGAUUGAGCGGCCGAUAUCAGAUUAGCUAGUUGGUGGGGUAAAGGCCUACCAAGGCGACGAUCUGUAGCGGGCCUGAGAGGAUGAUCCGCCACACGGGAACUUAGACACGGUCCAGACUCCUACGGGGAGCAGCAGUGGGGAAUUUUGGACAAUGGGGGCAACUCUGAUCCAGCCAUGCCGCGUGAGUGAAGAAGGCCUUCGGGUUGUAAGGAUGUUUCGGCCGGGAAGAAAUCGGAUAGGCUAAUACACUGGGUGGAUGACGGUACCGGAAUAAGAAGCACCGGCUAACUACGUG